UUAAGUAAAGUUCCCACUUGAUAAAAGAGGAGCUGAGACGCGGGGAAAGAGAGACAGAGGGCGACAGGGAUUAAGGUAGGGGCCCAAGCCAUAAUAAAUGGAACCAAUGGAAGUGCUUACCAAAUAGCACGCACAGGCUGGGUUCCUCUGCCCAGCCCCCAGACAGAGUAGCUAGUCUGGGCCACCGGAGGAAAGGGGCAGGGGAGAGGAAAUUAUCUUUGGCAGAUUGUGAAGCAGCCACAGCACAGCAGUAGGGCAGCUACAUCCACCUAAAGACCGGAGUAUCUCCCACAGCCCUAGUGUCUCUUCCCCUGCAAGGAGCUGGACUCUGUCAGAACAGCCCCACCGUGGUCUCCCAAAAUCUUGCUUCCUUUGUGCAACAGGGGUGAACAAGUCCAGGGGUUUUGCCAUUCUCAAUCAUCAUGGCAAGCCCCAACCAAUCAGGAGAUUUAGAAAAACAAAGACAUUUGGGAUUUGUGAUGGGGUGUCCACCCAGCGCAAAAAAAAAAAAUCCCGCCGAACGGGGAGGCGGAAUCCUGGGAAUCCUGCCUGCUGAACACGGAGGCGGAGUGAUGAUGCGGUCACCGAAUUUCCGCCGCUACCGAGGGCAGAUUGCCACCCCAGAGCCCGACGUCCUGCCGCCCCUUUACAUUUGCCGCCCCAGGCACCUGCUUGGUUCGCUGGUGCCUGGAGCCAGUCCUGUGUCCACCCACAUGAGGCUUGAAGGGGUUAAGGUGGCCAGGUAGGCAAUUAACUCCCCAGGCUGCAGUUGGAGGAGGGGCCAGAGAGCAGGGGUUAAUCAAAUGAGGCUCAACUGUAUAAAGGCCAGGAGCUGUAAGCAGAAGGGGGUGUUCAGGAAGGCAGGCUGGUAAUACUCCCUGAAAGGAGAUAGGGGGAAGACUGGUGAAUCCAGACUGGGGGAGCUAGGAAGAAAGGAGAAGGGUCAAGGGAAAAGCAGCAAAGAAUAGGAGUACAGAUCUUGGCUGCUGACUAGAGGACCCUGAACUGGAACCCAGAGUAGAGAGCAGGCUGAGGCAGAGACACCACUAGAGGAGGGUGCAAUGCCUGGCCAGGAUUACCAGCAGUGAGUGGAUGCUGUGAUGAGGUUCUUUAUUUGGCAUCCAGUUGCUGGGCCUUUGGGGUUCACGUUUUCAAGGUGUUCUCUAUAACCAUGAGGGUUAGAAACUUAUCUUCUUAAAAAAGAUGAAAGCCGAGAUUCUCAUAUCAUCCCAGGAUUCCAGGAGCUGGGGCUUUAAAAAUGUCACAUAUCAUAGACUCUGGGAUGACCAUAUGUCCUGUUUUGGCCGGGACAAUCCCUUUUUAAGCCCUGUCCCGGACAUCCUGACUUUUUUGGCAAAACUGGGUAUUUGUCCCAUUUCCAAGAGCAAAUGGGACAAAUGUGCAGUUUUGCCAAAAAAAAGUUGGGCAUCCUCUCCGAGGGGACACAGAGGAACAUUUGGCGAGGUUGGGGGGGCUGACAGCCCCGGGCAGUGUCCUGUUUUCACUUUGGGAAAUAUGGCCGCUCUACCAGUCUCACAAUAGUGGGUAACAGAGUAUGCCCUGCUCCUGCCUUUUCGCACCACAGAAACCGGCUCAAACUCCACCUGUAGCAUAUCCACCAUGCCGUUCGUUUGAGUUCCCUCCACCAGCAGCCUUACAGCCACAUGCAACACUACUAGUGCAAUAUCCCCUGGGCUUUCAGCCCUCUUCUUAGGAGCAGGGGUCUCCCUUCCUUGAGGCCCCUGGGCUCAGCUAGCCCUGUUCCUCUCCCCACUAGAGCUUCCUUCCUGUGCCUCUUGGCUCAGUAGCUCCACCAGCCACUGCCCUGCUUAGUUAAUUACCUUUAAUUACCCCAACUAGCUUUCUCAGGGGAACUAAUGGGUGUCAGAGCGCCGGUUCCCGAUUGGCACCACUGGGUUAGAGACCCUUCCUUGGCUGGAAGGAGGGGGCAGCGCAUGCACCGUGGCUCCCUACGAAAUGCACUGACUGUGUGGGAAUGGAGGGUGGGGGGCUGUGGCCAAUAGAGACACAGAACUGCCCUGUAAGGAGAGUGGGAGUUGCAAAUGCACAAGCCAAGUGGCAGUACCCAGCAAAUCCCCUGUCUCCUGUUAGCAAAUGGUAUAAGCAGGCAUGCACAGGGGGAGGAAGUGGGGUUGUAGGAUGACCGGAUGUCCCGAUUUUAUAGGGACAGUCCUGAUAUUCGGGGCUUUGUCUUAUAGAGGUUCCUAUUACCCCCCACUCCCUGUCCUGAUUUUUCACACUUGCUGUCUGGUUGCCCUGGGUGGAUGGGACCGUCUGCCCUUGGGUUGAGGGAGAGACCUCUCUUACACCUGAAAACGCACCCUCUGUACUUUCUUCCCGAGUGGUGCAGAGCACAAUCAGGAGGGUGAUCGGUCAGGGACAAAUGAUUUUGGACUCGCUCUGGGGGUCUUUACUUUCCUCUCUGCACCUCUUGACAGGCAUCUCCCCUGUCUUCCUGUGAUCACAGCCUAUGCCCAAACCAGAGCCUUUCCCAACUGUCUGAGACACAUGGUUUUAUUUUUCAGCAUGGGGGUGGCCAUCCCUUGAAAUCAGCCUGCACUGCGGAGGGAAUGUGAGUGUUUGGCGGGGGGGGCGGAGAGGAGCAGUUAGCAAAGGAAGAAGAGACAGCCUCAAGGUUGUGGGCAGCAGAGAGGGCUGUGGAAUGCUCAAUGAGCCCUGCAGUGGCCCCCAGGGACCUUCCUGUGUGAGGCGAGAACAAUCUCUGGGCCAGAAUGAAUUCUCAACAAGGCUGAUGGACCAGAACAGAAUGGGCACUCGGAUAGAGGAUGUCUCAAUUUAACAAUCUUAUCACCUGAUGUCUGGGCUGCUCAUAUGAACUUGCCCCCCAAUUAUACAAGAAAAAAUGGGCCAUCUCCUCAUUGGGUGUAAGUGAACAUGACUCCAUCAAAAUCACUGGUGCUUUGCUGAUUUACCACAGCUGAGGAUCUGGCCUAGUACAGUGAUCUACAACUGUUGGGUACGCAGGUGCUACAGGGAGCAGAUAAUAUGUUGCAUCAGGGUACAGAACUCAUGCACGUCAGCCAUAAGAAGACAAGGAAACUGUUCUGUGAGGUAAAGGGGACGCUCCAUAUGGAUAGUUUUAUUUCUAUGUUUGGAGGGAGCACGUGUGUGGGGGAAUUGCAGUUUGGGAAGCAGUGGCCCCUGAUUCCCCCCCAAGCUACAUCCAUGGGACCCUCCCUCAACUAUCACUAGUUCUUAGAGGUAUUCAGAACAUUUUGUUGAGGCUGAAACAUGUCACAGCUGAAAAACACUGUGCCAAAUGAGAGACUUGAACAUGGGGCUCCCAGAGGCCAGGCUAGGACCCUGACCACCACUUCACUGGAAAGUGCAUGUUUUGAUCCAAAAAUGGACAUUCUGACACAAUUCUGUUGCUGGGGAAAGGUUCUGUUGUUGUUCUCUGUGGCAUUAAAACAAAUUUUGAAAACUUGAAGGUUGCCGCAAAGCAGAAUUGUCACCCUCCAGUCAGCUCAAUGGCAACAGCUUAUAGCUUCUCUUCAUUCCUCCCGUCCCUGGGAGUAGCACAGUACCAACUGUUGAAUUUAGAGAAGCCACUCCCUUCUGCUGGGAGGCCUCCCCCUGAUACCAGACCAGUAACGCUCUGCACCCUCUUUCAGUUCUCCUCCAGACACACGUUCCUCAAUGCUGGGCCAGGGAAACACCCCCCUGGUGCUAGAUUAAGCAAAUGAUCCUGUUUAGGCAGGAAAAUCCCUCACUAUCUCCCAGGAAAAUGGGUGAGGGGAAUGCGCCUCUGCUGAAUCAAUGAUUCUGCCCUCUAAUCUUGGUGAAGGGUUGGAGAAAUGGCUCCCCCUUGUGCUGAGUCAGGAAUACCUCUGGCGCUGAGUUCGAGAGUCAAAGAAAUGCUUUCCUCUUGCUGGGCAGCGCAUCUUGGCACAUGUUCUGGAUGGACAUAUGUAAUUCCGUGAAUGUUUCUCUCACCUGGCUCCUGUGCUUCCUUCCUCCUUCAGUGCCCAUGAUUCAGGUAAAGCAUCCUGGAUCCAGAUGAAAAUAUUGCAGUGUGGGGCGAGAGGGAUCUAAACAGGUUUUUUUAAGGAGUAUAAAGUGUGUGUGUGGCGGGGGGAAGAGAGCUGAGGAGGAGGUAUCUGAUAUACUCACUUUUCAGAGUCUAUUCUAUAUGUGGCCAGACCCUGACCCCUUCCACCGCAGCACGCACACAAUCCAUCCACACACUUCUGGUGCAUGGCUGCACUCCGGUCACACACUGGCUGCAUAACAAGUUCAGAGAAAUCCAUGAUGCGAAACAAACAGAGCUGGAAGCCAUGAGAGAAGGAGGAGGAGGGCAGAGCAAGGAGACAGGGGGGGAGGGGCUGCCACUCCUGUGUGCGAAUUCAGUUCUCAGCGGCUGCUUAUUUGCACCCUAGCCAAAGGGAGCUUUUGCCUUCUGCACGGUUCAUUUUAUUUAUUUAUUUAUUAUUUUUAUACAGAAUGAUGACAGACGUCUCAGGGCACCUGUACACCGUUAAUAUUCAAGGUGGCCGAAUAAAGCCGGCACUACUGGGGGAAUUGUAGAGAUGUGAAAUGGGAGCGAGGGGUCCCUUCGGAGAGCAGGGUGUCUGGCUGUGUAGCCUUCAGCUCCCUCCCACUGGCCCCUGCACAUUCCCAGUUGGGAAGGGUGGGGCGGGUUAAGUGGUGAAAAGAUUUUAGAUUGUAAAGCUCAAAUAGCAUGUGUGUGUGUGUGUGACAUAAAGUGUAAGGUGCCUCGUGUGUUUAUAAAUCUAAACAAAUAAAACUAUAUACAAACCCUGUGUAAACUUA